UACCAGCACCCCGAGUGGUCGGGACGUUUAUUGGGCCUAAAGCAUCCGUAGCCGGUUCUACAAGUCUUCCGUUAAAUCCAACUGCUUAACAGGUGGGCUGCGGAAGAUACUAUAGAGCUAGGAGGCGGGAGAGGCAAGCGGUACUCGAUGGGUAGGGGUAAAAUCCGUUGAUCCAUUGAAGACCACCAGUGGCGAAGGCGGCGACCUGGUUCAUAACUGACGCUGAGGCGCGAAAGCGUGGGGAGCAAACAGG
rnacentral:rRNA from 1 species